rnacentral:rRNA from 1 species
CCUACGGGUGGCAGCAGUGAGGAAUAUUGCACAAUGGGCGCGAGCCUGAACCAGCCACGUAGCGUGAAGGAUGACUGCCCUCCGGGUUGUAAACUUCUUUUAUAAAGGAAUAAAGUGAGGCACGUGUGCCUUAUUGUCUGUACUUUAUGAAUAAGGAUCGGCUAACUCCGUGCCAGCAGCCGCGGUAAUACGGAGGAUCCGAGCGUUAUCCGGAUUUAUUGGGUGUAAAGGGAGCGUAGAUGGGAUGUUAAGUCAGUUGUGAAAGUUUGCGGCUCAACCGUAAAAUUGCAAUUGAGACUGGCAGUCUUGAGUACAGUUGAGGUAGGCGGAAUUCGUAGUGUAGCGGUGAAAUGCUUAGAUAUCACGAAGAACUCCGAUGGCGAAGGCAGCUUACUAAACUGCCACUGACAUUGAUGCUCGAAAGUGUGGGUAUCAAACAGGAUUAGAUACCCCAGUAGUC